rnacentral:rRNA from 1 species
UAACAGAGGGUGGUCGAGCGUUAGGCGGAAUCACUGGGCUUAAAGCGUGUGUAGGCGGAUUUGUAAGUACCUUGUGAAAUCCCACAGCUUAACUGUGGAACUGCUUGGUAUACUGCUUAUCUUGGGCCACUUAGGGGUUACCGGAACAAACGGUGGAGCGGUGAAAUGCGUAGAUAUCGUUUGGAACGCCAAUGGUGAAAACAGGUAACUGGGAGUGU